rnacentral:rRNA from 1 species
UACGUAGGGGGCUAGCGUUGUCCGGAUUUAUUGGGCGUAAAGAGCGUGUAGGCGGCCAGGUAGGUCUGCUGUGAAAACUUGAGGCUCAACCUCGAGACGUCGGCGGAAACCAUCUGGCUAGAGUCCGGAAGAGGAGAGUGGAAUUCCUGGUGUAGCGGUGAAAUGCGCAGAUAUCAGGAGGAACACCGGUGGCGAAGGCGGAUCUCUGGGCCUUGCCUGACGCUGAGGCGCGAAAGCUAGGGGAGCGAACAGG